CCGCGCGGGCCAGGCUGGGCCUUACGCGGGCAACCAAACACGCCCCUGAUCGCUUGGCGCGUGCUGGCCGGCGACUUGCUGGACUAUGUCCGCUUCCGCGCGGUCUGCCCCCACUGGCGAUCUAGCAUGGUCUGCCCACACGGCUGCGGCGUCAUUGAUCCACGCUUCCACCUGCGCCGCUGGAUGAUGCUACCGGAGGGCCACGGCCUGUACCCGUCCCACGCCAGCCUCCGGGGCUACAUCCACUUCUUCAACCUCGACACAGGGAAAUUCGUCCGCGUCAAGCUCCCGGUCUUCAACGACCACUGUGUCCUCGACUCGGCCGAAGGUCUGCUAGUCAUGCAGCGGGAUGAAGACACAGCCAUCCGACUGUUCCACCCUUUCACCGGCGAUGUCGUCGACCUCCCACCACUCGUGACCCUUGUGCCACACAUUAACCCUGACCUACCUGGGGCUUUUCACCCGAUGCAGAAGUUCCACUACCUUAGGGGAGUGUGUGCCGCCUUCAGUGUCAGCGCUACCGGAGCCAUCACCAUCAUGCUCGCGCUUCAUCGGAUGGGAUGUGUAGCCUUCGCUACCCCCCGUGAUCAGUGAUGGCAUAUGUCAACCUGGAGGCUACCGUAUAAUACACCCUUGUCCUUCCAAGGCAAACUAUACAUAGCGAAAGAGCUUUGGAGCUGCAGAAAACUCGAUAUAUUCCAAGUUGAUCCACCACAGGAGGACCAUGUGGGUUCUUCAUUGCCACCACCCAAGUUGAUUGCCACAAUUUCAAUUGACAAGCUCACCCGUCCUCUUUGCCUGGUAGAAUGCGACUCACAGAUCCUUGUGACUGGCUAUACUGAUAGCUCCCUUUCGCGUAUGUUGGUUAAUAGACUUGCAGAUCUUACAUUGGAAAAGCUGAUUUCGAUAAGAAGCAUUGGGGACAAGGCUUUGUUCCUUAACAACGAGAGGAGUCUGUCUGUGUCCUCCAAUGGGGCAUUGCCUACUGUUGUCAGCACCACAAUUGUUCAGACCAGUCCAAAGGAUGGGUCACUUACUCAGUACCACCUGAGCACUGACACUUGGUCACGGCCUAUGGAUGGUUGCAUCCUAAGUGGCCCAGUAUUUGGUCCCUGUUGCCUUAUCUACCAUAUCUACACUUGUUGCAAACGUGAAUUCUGGUGA
rnacentral:rRNA from 1 species